UGAACUCCUCUUCCUGUUUCUAGUUUCAAAGUUCGUUUGAUCUUAAGAGUCCUGAUCAGUUCAACCAAACCACCUUCUCCGGGAGGAAACUAAGUCCCAGGGCGGUGCCUCGUCUUGCAACAGGGGAGCUGAACUGUCUUCAAUACCAGCCAGACACCUGACAGAUCGACCUUCCUCAAAGGUGACACCAGCAUGAGCUGCAGUAAGAAUACAGCAGGAAUACACUGGUCCUCGUGCCUGGACUCAGAACAGCUCCGCAGGAACCUGUGGGAACGGAGGGACCUUGGCUUCCCAGAUCUAGUAACCAAGAAAAAAAUUAAUCCUUUUAACAAAGAGAUGUUGUUUGCUCUUC